rfam:Natronomonas moolapensis 8.8.11 complete genome
GCCAGGGGAGCUUGGGUGGUUCAAGCACCCGACUUGUAAUCGGGAGUUCGUGCGUUCAAAUCGCACCCCUGGCU